AGUCGCACGAGAAAGUCCUUCGGGAUGAGUAGAGUGGCGCACGGGUGAGUAACACGUAGGUGACCUCCCAAUUUGAGUGGGAUAACCCGGAGAAAUCCGGGCUAAUACCGCAUAAGAAUGACAAAAGUGGAACUAGUCAUUGAAAGGAAUGCCUCUGCUUGCAAGCAUUCGCGAAUUGAUGGGCCUGCGGGACAUUAGCUAGUUGGUGGGGUAAUGGCCUACCAAGGCAACGAUGUCUAGCGGAUCUGAGAGGAUGAUCCGCCACACUGGAACUGAGACACGGUCCAGACUCCUACGGGAGGCAGCAGUGGGGAAUCUUGCGCAAUGGGCGAAAGCCUGACGCAGCAACGCCGUGUGAGUGAGGAAGGCCUUCGGGUUGUAAAGCUCUGUCGGAUGGGAAAAAAGGCAGUACGUCGAAUAGGCGUAUUGAGUGAUGGUACCAUCAAAGGAAGCACCGGCAAACUUCGUGCCAGCAGCCGCGGUAAUACGAAGGGUGCAAGCGUUGUUCGGAUUUAUUGGGCGUAAAGCGCGCGCAGGCGGAUUUGCAAGUCAGAUGUGAAAUCUCGGGGCUCAACCCCGAAACUGCGUCUGAAACUACAAGUCUAGAA
rnacentral:rRNA from 1 species